rnacentral:rRNA from 1 species
UACAGAGGGGGCAAGCGUUGUUCGGAAUCACUGGGCGUAAAGGGUGCGUAGGCGGGUCUUUAAGUCAGGGGUGAAAUCCUGGAGCUCAACUCCAGAACUGCCUUUGAUACUGAGGAUCUUGAGUUCGGGAGAGGUGAGUGGAACUGCGAGUGUAGAGGUGAAAUUCGUAGAUAUUCGCAAGAACACCAGUGGCGAAGGCGGCUCACUGGCCCGAUACUGACGCUGAGGCACGAAAGCGUGGGGAGCAAACAGGG